AGGACGAACGCUGGCGGCGUGCUUAACACAUGCAAGUCGAGCGGAAAGGCCCUUCGGGGUACUCGAGCGGCGAACGGGUGAGUAACACGUGAGCAACCUGCCCCUGGCUCUGGGAUAGCCUCCGGAAACGGGGAUUAAUACCGGACAUGACCUCUGACCGCAUGGUUGGGGGUGGAAAGUUUUUCGGCCAGGGUGGGCUCGCGGCCUAUCAGCUUGUUGGGGGGGUGACGGCCCACCAAGGCGACGACGGGUAGCCGGCCUGAGACGGGCGACCGGCCAACGACUGGGACUGAGACACGGCCCAGACUCCUACGGGAGGCAGCAGUGGGGAAUAUUGCGCAAUGGGCGGAAGCCUGACGCAGCGACGCCGCGUGCGGGAUGAAGGCCUUCGGGUUGCAAACCGCUUUCACCAGGGGCGAAGCGAGAGUGACGGUACCUGGGGAAGAAGCGCCGGCUAACUACGUGCCAGCAGCCGC
rnacentral:rRNA from 1 species